rnacentral:hammerhead_ribozyme from 1 species
GUACUGCUGAUGAUUCCCAAACUAGGACGAAACAGAUGUCCAGUAC